GACGUAGGGGGCGAGCGUUGUCCGGAAUCAUUGGGCGUAAAGAGCGCGUAGGCGGCCCGGAAAGUCGGAUGUGAAAACCUGGGGCUCAACCCCAGGCCUGCAUCCGAUACUCCCGGGCUCGAGGCAGGUAGGGGAGAUCGGAAUUCCUGGUGUAGCGGUGAAAUGCGCAGAUAUCAGGAGGAACACCGGUGGCGAAGGCGGAUCUCUGGGCCUUACCUGACGCUGAGGCGCGAAAGCUAGGGGAGCGAACAGG
rnacentral:rRNA from 1 species